ensembl:lncRNA
GAGAAUCUUUUGUUUCUUUUUUCCCACCGUUGGCCUCACGGCCGAUGAUACCCAAAUACUCGACAAAAGAGUGAUUUCCCUUAUGUCUGGGUCCCAGGAGGGCACGGAGAGUUGCAGACGGCCAAGCACCGGACCUCACUCAUCCUCCUCCUUCGCCAGAUGGCAGCAGCGGGCAGUUCGAGAGCAUCAACAAAGGCCCUACUCACGCACCCUCUACCAACCUGUGGAGCCAGGUGAGGCCUGCACCCCACACUCACACCACACUCCAGCCUGCUCACAAGCUGCCCGAGUUGGGUCCCUGUGUUCAACCUCGCUGCCCCACUGUGGGUAUGGCUGUGGUUCCAAUGGUCCCGCUUGUACGGUUUCUAAGUGCCUGGUCAGCGCUACCCAGCCCGUCUCGCUGGCUUCUGCAGACCAUCAGCCUCGGCUAUGCGAUUCAGUUCGCCCGGCAUCCCCCCAAGUUCAGCGGUAUCCGCUUCACUACAGUGAAAGCGGCCAAUACCCCUGUUCUGCAGGCAGAGAUCCUGCCCUUCGGGCUGUCCCUGUCUCCCUGUGUCUUCACGAAAGCAUUCUUAACUAUCUAGACUUUUGGCUUAUACUAGCACAGUCUUGGGAUCAGUUGUGCGAGCACAGGGACUUGGUGCUCUGGCACCUCAGCCUGUUGGGCCUUCGGGUCAACUGGGAAAAGAGCAAACUCUCCCCUAUGCAGAGGAUCUCUUUUCUCGGUAUGGAGUUGGAUUCGGUCGAACAGACAGCACACCUCACAGAGGAACUUGCGCGGUCGGUCCUAGCCUGCUUGAAUACAUUCAAGGGCAGGACAGAGAUCCCACUGAAACUUUUUCAGAGGCUAAAGGGGCAUAUGGUGGCUGCAGCGGUACUUACACCGCUCAGCCUGUUACAUAUGAGACCGCUUCAGCACUGGAUAUAUGGCCGAGUCCCGAGGUGGGCGUGGAAGCACGGCACUCACCAGGUCAAAGGAACACCAGCCUGUCACCAAACCC